rnacentral:rRNA from 1 species
AUUGAACGCUGGCGGCAGGCCUAACACAUGCAAGUCGCGCGAGCGGCGGACGGGUGAGGACUGUAUGGGGACUGCCCGAUAGAGGGGGAUAACUACUGGAAACGGUAGCUCAUACCGCAUACAAUCGGAGAAGCCAGAUGGGAUUAGCUAGUAGGUGAGGUAAUGGCUCACCUAGGCGACGAUCCCUAGCUGGUCUGCGAGGAUGAUCCGCCACACUGGGACUGCGACACGGCCCAGACUCCUACGGAGGCAGCAGUGGGGAAUAGUGCACAAUGGGCGCAAGCCUGAUGCAGCCAUGCCGCGUGUAUGAAGAAGGCCCUAGGGUUGUAAAGUACUUUCAGUCGGGAGGCGUUACCGACAGAAGAAGCACCGGCUAACUCCGUGCCAGCAGCCGCGGUAAUAC